rnacentral:lncRNA from 1 species
AAAAAGCUGACUCAGAUUGGAACGGUGGAGCUGAAUCACGGAACCGGAAUUCGUAUGAUACACGCGCCAGGAGAGAGCGUGGGCGUUUUAUCUAUUUAAUACCAGGUUGCCCUAUAAAUGGCGGGAGCCUCCCGUCUGUCGAAAUUUCCCGCACCCAAUCAUCUAUCUCAGUCUCUCCUCCUUCUCCCUUUCGCGUCCAGCUUUUCCACUAUUCACUCCACCUUCCAAAACCCCCCAUUUAUCCCCAAAACCCUCAAUCAGCGUAACGGAAAGUUCACCUGAGGUAUCCAUUGCUCAUCAACACUAACUGUCCGUUAUCAUUCGAGUCCAUUAACCCAUAAAUUUUGCAAUUCUAGGGUUUCCUUUGUGUUCCUUAAAAAACCCUAGUUUUUGUUUUCUUUUUAUUUUUUUCCUUUGGUAUAGGGAGGAGUUGGUGAAGCAGCGUUGAAGUAUUUGAUCUGAAUGGAGGCUGCGGCCGGUGUCGCCGCCACACGCGGCGGUUCUCUGCCGAUGCCUUCGUCCUCAUCGCGGAAGGAGUGGCGCGCCGUUUCAGAGCACCAUACGGGUCGAAACACUGGGGACGAGGUGGUAAUUUACUGCACAUGCGUUUGCAUUUGGUUUUUGUUUGGUUGAGAAGAGAAUGUAGUCUAAUGGUUGAAAUUGAUGCAUCAAAUCUGGGUUUUCUUUUAACGAUUGAGGACCGGGGGAAAAGAAAAAAAGAUUAUGGCGUUAGUUUGGUGACAAUCGGUUCACGCUUUUAGGUCUCUUUUCUUUUCUUUUUUUUUCGGCGGCUCUAUUUAUUGUGAACAAUUGGAAUCUCGCGCCCCAUAAAGUUACACAAAUUGUCUAUUGUUGUUAUUGUAUCCUUUGGGGUAUUUCCUCAUUUUUCUCAGUAAGCCGAAGUAGGCACAGUUUGUUAGCUGACAGAGAUUGACGGGACUUCACCCUGGUGAUUGGAACUUGCCUAUUCAUUGGUUGCUUUGAAGUUAGGAUCAUAGAGAAUAAGAAGCGAAUAACUUUAUCU